ACACUGGAACAGGGGCUAUAUAUUCUUCCUCUCUUCCAUGUUGUUUCGUGGUUACCCAUGGAACUCAUCACCUGGGACAUGCUCUUGACAGAGUCUCUGUCCCACUCCCUCUCGCUCUCUCUCCCCCGCACCCACAGCUUUCUCUGUUUGUCUUCCAUUCCGACAUCUACGCGUUGAGGCAGCCUUAUCAACGGUGUCCUGGCGGCAUGUUCACCAAGUGUUCCGGUUCUCAGCUGCUCACCGGCUUCCUUCGCUGGUGCCAACCGACUCUUCGGCAUCCCAUCCUGGUCAAAUCUGGGGAAAGCUUCUCUUGUUGUUGUAGACCCUUCCUCUCCAUCAUAUUUGGGCGAAAUCUUCUCGAUUGCAACUAAACAAGAAACAGUUGCAAGCAACAACGAUACUUGAUUUCACUUAUGAGAGAGAGAGUACAUCCCACUCGUUUGAUUAAUUGCUAGAGAGAUGGAAAUCCUUUUAAUGACUGUAGUUACAAGUUUAGGGCUAUAGAUGAUGUUGUAGCCAACGUCUUGCAUACUUACAAAUUUGUUUGAGCUUUUCCACAGUGGUCAUAUAUUUCUAUAGUUAUACUUCUACGAGCCUUAUUUGACCAGAAAAUUCACAUUCUUGAAGAAGAUCCUUUGUACUUUUAGGUUUUUUGGAUCGACAAGCAGGUUUUAGCUAGGGAGGUUCUUAUUAAUUCAAGUUUAAGUUCACGUUACAACCAGCAUGAGCUUGAUCUGGUUUUGGGUUUAGCCGAUUGUUGAGAUGGUUUGGGAGGUCUCUGUCUUAUAAUCAUACUGAUUGAAGUAUCUAAUUUUCUUGCAAUAACUUAGCAAAAAUCUGUGUAACUAGGGUUAUGUAGUAUUUGGUUAUUCAGUUGACUUUCUAAAUUUGUAGUGGUGACAGUGUGGAUUUAAUGAUGUAGACCUGACCAUCAAAGUUUGGUGGAGAUCUUGCAAUAACUUUUGAUGUCCUUGAGAAUGCUUGUUUUUUCCUCAAGGGUACUGGACUAUUUAAUUGUUCCAUUGACAUUGUAGUGCUCCCACUGUGUGAUUGUUGGAUUUGAUGAUAUGAAUGUGACCUCCGAGGAGGUGUUUUUAUGUAAA